CCAAGUUGAUAGCCUUCGGCGUAAAGAGUGGUUAAGAGAGACCUAACACUAAAGCCAAAUGACUUCAAAGCUGUUAUACGCACAUGAAAGUACGAAGCCCAAUUACGAAAGUGGCUUUAAAUCUUCUGACUCCACGAAAGCUAUGAUACAAACUGGGAUUAGAUACCCCACUAUGCCUAGCCCUAAACAUAGAUAAUAAUUUACCUACUUUAUCCGCCCGGGUACUACGAGCAUCAGCUUAAAACCCAAAGGACUUGGCGGUGCUUUAGAUCCACCUAGAGGAGCCUGUUCUAGAACCGAUAAUCCCCGUUAAACCUCACCUUUCCUUGUCUUAUCUGCCUAUAUACCGCCGUCGUCAGCUUACUCUGUGAAGAAUUUGUAGUAAGCAUAAUUGGCACAGCCCAAAACGCCAGGUCGAGGUGUAGCGAAUGGAAAGGGAAGAAAUGGGCUACAUUCAAUAAUAAUAAUGAAUACGAAUGAUGCCUUGAAAAAGGUAUCUGAAGGAGGAUUUAGUAGUAAGCAAAGAAUAGAGCGCUAUGCUGAAACCGGCCCUGAAGCGCGUACACACCGCCCGUCACUCUCCCCGAGCUAACUUAACUAUAUUACUAAUAAGCAAUAAC
rnacentral:rRNA from 1 species